rnacentral:rRNA from 1 species
AACGAACGCUGGCGGCAUGCCUAACGCAUGCAAGUCGAACGAGACCUUCGGGUCUAGUGGCGCACGGGUGCGUAACGCGUGGGAACCUGCCCUUAGGUUCGGAAUAACUCCCCGAAAGGGGUGCUAAUACCGGAUAAUGUCUUCGGACCAAAGAUUUAUCGCCUUUGGAUGGGCCCGCGUUGGAUUAGCUAGUUGGUAGGGUAAAAGCCUACCAAGGCGACGAUCCAUAGCUGGUCUGAGAGGAUGAUCAGCCACACUGGGACUGAGACACGGCCCAGACUCCUACGGGAGGCAGCAGUGGGGAAUAUUGGACAAUGGGCGAAAGCCUGAUCCAGCAAUGCCGCGUGAGUGAUGAAGGCCCUAGGGUUGUAAAGCUCUUUUACCCGGGAUGAUAAUGACAGUACCGGGAGAAUAAGCUCCGGCUAACUCCGUG